CUCCUCCUUUCUUCCUCCAGAACAGAUCUGGAGAUCAAGGACAAACUAGCUCCCCCCAUCAAUGGCGUCUUGAAGAACAAUCCCACGCAGGGACCCCUCCUUCCUCCCCCUUUCUUGCUCUAAAUCUGAUCUAGAGAUCAAAGGACAGCCUACCUCCCCCAAAAAAGGUUUAUGUGGUGACAAAAAAGACAAUUAGUAGCUGGAAAACAAGAUGAUUGAUCUGAAUGAACCGCCGCUUGACGUAGAGUCCAUCAACAUUUCAGUUGAGUUGGGUACACCCUUCUUACAUGCAGGUUAUGAGCAGGAGGAUCACCAUUUGGAGGAGGGGGUUGGUAAGUCCCCUGACCCCAACAUUGGCUCUAAUAGUGCUCAUGUCCCAAACAAUCAUGUCGCUGCUCCCCCACCCAUGGUUGCUCCUGCUAAUGCUUUAGUUGAUGAGGCACAUGAGUUGGAAGAUGAAGAAGCUAGGUCACAGCCGCAGCAACCUUAUGUUGGCAUGCGCUUCGACACAUUGGUUGAUGCGAGGGAACACUACAAUCUCUAUGCUUUGAUGGUAGGUUUUUCAAUCAAGUCGAAUACGUCCUACAGGCCCACACCGGCGUGCUGGAAAAACAACAAUUCUGCUGUAACAAGUUCCGCAAGCCGGUGGAGAGGGUUGGGGUCUCGGAUGUUGUCUCGUCCAGCAAAAACACCACAUGCCCAAGCUCACCUGACCAAGAUGUUGAAGAGGAUGGCGAAGAACACACUUAUACGAAGAAGAGGAAGCGAGAGACUAUAAAGCAAACAAAAUGCCCUGCUAAGAUGGUGGUGAAGCUUAUAGAUGGCAGAUGGGAGGUUAUCACUUUUGUUGCAGAUCACAACCACCCACUGAUUGACAUGCCAUCACUUUCGAAAUACCUUCGUUCUCACCAAGGCAUCCCGCCCGAAGAGAAAAAAAAUUCUGACUCACCUUAACGACUGCAGCUUGACAACAGGGAGGAUGAUGAUGAUAAUGUCAUCAUACUACGACUCGGAGUUAAUUGUCCCGUACACAGCUAAAGGUGACAUUGGAGUAUAUAGUGAAGGUAAUAUGCCCUAGAGGCACUAAUAAAGUUGUUAUUUAUAUUUCCUUAUAUCAUGAUAAAUGUU